rnacentral:lncRNA from 1 species
GUAGGUUUCAACUUCAGGUCAGGUGCUAACUUAACAUGACAUUUGCGUAAGGCACAACUGCUUGUGUAAGACACACACUCAGGGAUACCCAUGUCCUUCCUCCACAUCCCCAUGCUGGGCAUUGCCCUGAGCUGGGAUGCACUGGUAAUCAUCUCCUGCAUCUACCUGCAGUCCCCUCCUGCCCCCCUGGACACUGCAGGGCUUCCUGAGGUGCUUAUGAGUGCUCCUUACCCAGGCUGUGGGGCAGUGUCUGAGACUGCACAGAGUGAUUCACUGGAGUGCAGAUCGAAGGCCAACAAGAGGGGAAGGUGAGCCACCAGUGAGAUGCUCAGCUCCUUGGUGCUGAUCUGGACUUGGCAAGGAAUGAUAACGGUGAUCUAAUCCAGCCUGACACCAAGUUGACCUCUACUUUCAAAACUACCCAAAAUACUGGAUGAAGCAGGACAAACUGCUAUCUAUUAAUAGCAAAACUCACCCUAAGUCUACAUUGUGCUUUGAGUUAUAACUAAUAGUAGCCUGCAAUUAUAAUCUUCA